GGGCGCUUAGCUCAGCGGGAGAGCACGUCCUUCACACGGACGGGGUCGCAGGUUCAAUCCCUGCAGCGCCCACCA
rnacentral:tRNA from 1 species